rnacentral:rRNA from 1 species
GAGACUCUGUGCGCGUGCAUAUCAAUAAGCGGAGGAAAAGAAACUAACAAGGAUUCCCUUAGUAACGGCGAGUGAAGCGGGAAGAUGCUCAAAUUUGAAAUCUUCAAGGUUUUACCUUGACGAAUUGUAGUUUAAAGAAGUGUUUUCUGUUGAAGUUUUGGUAAAAGUUCUUUGGAAUAGGACAUCAUAGAGGGUGAGAAUCCCGUAUUUGACCAUUAUUUUCAGCUGUGUGAUACACUUUCAAAGAGUCGGAUUGUUUGGGAAUGCAGUCCAAAAUGGGUGGUAAAUUUCAUCUAAAGCUAAAUAUUGGCGAGAGACCGAUAGCGAACAAGUACCGUGAGGGAAAGAUGAAAAGAACUUUGAAAAGAGAGUUAAACAGUACGUGAAAUUGUCAAAAGGGAAGCGUUUGACACCAGUGUUGUUUUCUCGAAAAUCAAUUAAAAAAGGCCGGAUUUUGUGUUGUAUUGACCUUAAAAGCUUUCUUCACUCUUUUCCUGUCUUUUUUAAUGCACUUUUCGUUUAACAAGUCAACAUCAGUUUCUUUUGUUGUAAAAGGGUCAUUGGAAGGUGGCUUUCUUUUCGGAGAAAGUGUUUAUAGCCUUUGAUCUCUGCAACCGGAGAGACUGAGGUCUGCAGCGUAGACUCUUCGGGGUUAGAUACAUUUGUGCUAAGCUAUAGCUUUUUAUAGACAACUUGUUGACUAUAUUUAGUCUUGUAGCUUACUCGCUUACGCUAUUUUACCUACGCUUAGGAUGUUGACAGCAGUAUAGACUGU